rnacentral:rRNA from 1 species
UGGGGAAUAUUGGACAAUGGGGGCAACCCUGAUCCAGCCAUGCCGCGUGAGUGAAGAAGGCCUUCGGGUUGUAAAGCUCUUUUGGCGGGGGCGAUGAUGCCGGUACCCGCAGAAUAAGCACCGGCUAACUUCGUGCCAGCAGCCGCGGUAAUACGAAGGGUGCGAGCGUUGUUCGGAGUCACUGGGCGUAAAGGGCGCGUAGGCGGUUCUCCAAGUUAGGUGUGAAAGCCCUGGGCUCAACCCGGGAAUUGAACUUGAUACUGGAUG